rfam:Hordeum vulgare subsp. vulgare, WGS project CAJW01000000 data, contig: morex_contig_42737
AAAUAACUCCCUCCGUCCCAAAAUUCUUGUCUUACAUUUCUCUAUAUACGAAUGUAUCUAGUGACAUUUUAGUAUUUAGAUACAUCCAUUUAUAGACAAACCUAAGACAAGAAUUUUGGGACGGAGGGAGUAAAUA